AGGGUGGAUGAGGACGACAUCGUCUCACACAUCCUGGCCGGGCUCGAAGAAGACUUCGAUCUGGUGGUGUCUGCCAUGUGUUCCUGGGUGGAGCCGGUCACCGUGGCUGAGCUGUUCUCACAGCUGCUUAGCUUCGAAA
rfam:Triticum urartu cultivar G1812 contig119097, whole genome shotgun sequence.